rnacentral:rRNA from 1 species
AACGUAGGACACGAGCGUUAUCCGGAAUCAUUGGGCGUAAAGGGCGUGUAGGCGGUCCGCUAAGUCUGAUGUGAAAGCCCGGGGCUCACCCCCGGAAGGGCAUUGGAAACUGACGGACUCGAGUCCCGAAGAGGAGGGUGGAAUUCCUGGUGUAGCGGUGAAAUGCGUAGAUAUCAGGAGGAACACCGGUGGCGAAGGCGGAUCUCUGGGCCAUUACUGACGCUGAGGAGCGAAAGCGUGGGGAGCGAACAGG